UACGUAGGGUGCAAGCGUUGUCCGGAAUUAUUGGGCGUAAAGAGCUCGUAGGCGGUUUGUCGCGUCUGCUGUGAAAACCCGAGGCUCAACCUCGGGCCUGCAGUGGGUACGGGCAGACUAGAGUGCGGUAGGGGAGAUUGGAAUUCCUGGUGUAGCGGUGGAAUGCGCAGAUAUCAGGAGGAACACCGAUGGCGAAGGCAGCUUGCUGGGACGGUACUGACGCUGAGACGCGAAAGCGUGGGGAGCAAACAGG
rnacentral:rRNA from 1 species